UACGAAGGGGGCGAGCGUUGUUCGGAUUUACUGGGCGUAAAGGGCGCGUAGGCGGCGCGAGAAGUCAGGCGUGAAAGCCCCGGGCUCAACCUGGGAAUGGCGCUUGGGACUCUCGUGCUCGAGUUCGGGAGAGGAGAGUGGAAUUCCCAGUGUAGAGGUGAAAUUCGUAGAUAUUGGGAAGAACACCGGUGGCGAAGGCGGCUCUCUGGACCGAGACUGACGCUGAGGCGCGAAAGCGUGGGGAGCAAACAGGAUUAGAUACCCUGGUAGUCCACGCUGUAAACGAUGUGUGCUAGACGUUGGGGAGCCUAGCUCUCCGGUGUCGCAGCAAACGCUUUAAGCACACCGCCUGGGGAGUACGGCCGCAAGGUUAAA
rnacentral:rRNA from 1 species